ensembl:lncRNA
UUUCUAAUUGAAUCAGCCGUUUUGAACAAAUUGUUUGAUUUGAAUGAUUCAAUAAAUCAUUUAUUAAAACAGGGAGUUGCUGCCACCUACCUGGUGGUUUUAUUGUCAUAUCUAUUCAUCCAUGCCAAGCCUAAUAAAAUAUUGUUUAAUUAUCAAUAUAUACCUCCAUUUCAGGCCCCAGAAGGACAACCGCUUAUAAAUAUUAGUUCAUUCAAAAAAACUAAUUUUAACCCCUCGCUCCACCAAAGAAAUUGACCACACCAUCCCCCUGAAUUUUUUUUUUUUUUUUACAAUUCGACCACUGACUGUGAGCAUGCAUACAUAAGCAGGUGAGCACAAACAGGUGUGUGAUAGAGUUCACAGGAGCAGAAAGAAAGAGAGAGUGACUGUAAAUGGAACAGCACCUUGCUGUGAUUUGAGCUCAAUCACCCUCACAGAGUGCAAAUAUCUUGCCUGCAGAGUCCUUCAAGCUGCCUGAACAUCACCUAACAUUAUGCUCUUAAACUACAUGCAGCACUGCAUUAAAAAAAGCAAGCAGGUCUAGUGUUUCCUAAAAUAUUUAUUUUCCCUGAUAUUCCCCUUUAUUUCCACAUCAUAAUCAUAGUGAAAUGUACAUGGUGAUUCACAGUACAACAGAAGUUUCUUUAAAGGAAUAGUUCGCCCCAAAAAUCAAAAUUUGCUGACAUUUUCUCAUCCUAAACCCAUCCAACACAUAGAUGAGUUUGUUUCUGUAUGGGAACAGAUUUUGAGAAAUUUAGCAUUACAUCACUUGUUCACCAGUGGAUCCUCUGCAGUGAAUGGGUGUUGCAGAAUGAGAGAUUAAACAGAUGAUAAAAACAUCACAAUAACCCACAAGUAAUCCAAGCAGUCCGUCAAUUAACGUCUUGUGAAAGGUAAAAAGCUGUGUUUUUGUAAUAAAAAUUAACCUAACAUUACGUUUUUAUACUGAAAACUGUUGCUUAAUUUCAUGAAGACCCUAAAGAAUCAUACCAACUUGUAGAAAAUAGGCAUCCAGUGUCCCCUUUGACUGAAGAAAGCAUUAUUUUCUAUUAUGGCCACUGGCCAGAAGUGAUGGAUUGAAGUUUGAAAAAAAUAAAAACACAUCCUAAUGAUGAAUUGUUAUUUUGCAUAGUUUUUACCUUUUAAAACAGGCCUAUGACCCAUUUUGCAUCAUCUACUAGUUGAAAACCUUUUUAGACAGCAACAUUCAUCAAAAUGUUUUGUUUUGUGUUCCACAGAACAAUGACAGAAUUUUAAUUUGAUGAAUUUGGUGAUUUAUCCCUUUAACUUGAGAGCAAACAGUAUUUGCUUGCCAC